rnacentral:other from 17 species
AAUACCCUGCUGUGUGCGUGAUCAGCCUUGAAGUUUUGAGCCAACACCAUUAGAAAGGGAGCCCGGACUCUGAAUGUGGCUUGUAUGCCUCUCAUGCAGAGGAAACAAAAAGCAUUCAGGAGGGCACCCACCUGUUGAGAGCAGGUUCAAAAAACUUUUGGGGAUCACGGCAUGAGUGGGGUUUUU